rnacentral:tRNA from 1 species
GCCGGCAUAGCUCAGUGGUAGAGCAACGCUUUUGUAAAGCGAAGGUCGUAGGUUCAAAUCCUAUUGCCGGCU